rnacentral:lncRNA from 1 species
CUGGAUCUCCAGGGAGGUGCAAACCAGCCCAGGAUGCCUUUCAGACGCGGCAGUGGCCAGCUGCAGCCAAGCCCGAUUGGAGGAGAAGCCUCUGGCCCAGCGAACCGCGCCCCGGAUAUGUGUUCCCAUCACAGGCUGUGAUGGGCUAAGCCCAUGCUCUGCCCGUAAAACCAGAUGCCAGGCCCUUCCUGCAGGGGCUUUGCCUCUGCGCCUGAGUCACGUGCAAUGGCAACAUCCGCCUCACAGGCAGAAGACAGGUAAUGUGCUGAUGUCAUAACAAGGUUUGUGGGGGGCACAGCUCCUGCAACAGCAUGAAGACUCAAUCAUUGUGCUCAUGAACUAUAAAAGGAUCCUGUACCAUUUUGCAUUCCCACCAACAGUGCACAAGGGUUCCAAUUUCUCCAGAUCCUCAUCAACACUUACC